GGGGGGGGGGGAUGGUGAAACCUAUAUAACCACGCUGCUGUCUCCCUGUCGUCAGUGUCAACUGGUUGCAGAAAUCAGCUGUCUUGUGUUUAAUCAUGUAUACUUUACAGUUCGUUUUAUUAAUGCUGGUGGUGGGUGCAGCUGUGGCCCAACGGUACUACGAUAACCGUUAUAAUUAUUACCAGGGGUAUGAUCAAAACUACGCACCGAACUAUGGCUACGAAAAUUACCGUCACGGGCAUGGACAUCGCUUUUAUCCUGGAUUUGGUCAAUGGCCAUUCUACAACAGAUAUUGAUGCGUGGCAACUUACUAGUUUACCUGAAGAUGCUGUACAAGCGCCUUAAUAUAAAAUAAACAAUUUCAUUGGG